AUAACAACGUGACGGCGUAUUUUAUACAUCCCUAUUAUGCACAAUGCUGAUACCACCCCUCACUCCAAUGGAUAUUACUCCUGCAAACAUUUAUACUUACUGCCAAAAAUGGUACCAAAAUAAUCAUGAAUAUUUUUUAUCUAUCAACUGUAGUACGGGUUUUAUCUAAUUAUGUGAAACAAAAUAAAACGAGCAAAUGUUUCACAAGCAUUUUUUUGUAAUUUGUCGUUUUUUUGCCGGUCUUGGGACGUUUUGACUGACAUUUUAUACUUCCGAUUUCGGAUAUUUGAAGAAUUGUUUUGAUUGUCAAUAACUUUACAAGGAUACGUUGACGUCUCCUGCAUCGUGAGAUAUAAAGCCUUAGACUACAUUCAUGCCACUCAAAUUCAGCCACUCAGAAUGAUGGGAAGGAUUGCAGAACUGAGUUUCACUCUCACCUGACUGAUGCAGAUUCAGGAACCUAAUUACUCAUGAUGGUUUCUGAGAAAAAAAAUCAGCUUGGUGUAAAUUGACAGUAUUUUUCAGUAUUUGACAGUGGUUCUAUCAUACAACAGUCAUAACAUGAAGUGUCUCACAGAUUCUCUCUCAAUUCCUGCAAUAUCCAAGAUGACAGUGUAGUGCAAAGAGGACUAAUUUUCUUGCAAAAAGAAGUGUCUGCACUUCCAAAUACUCCGGUACAGCAUGAACAGUUCCUUCAUUUUUUGAGUGAUUAUAGAGUGAAAAUGUUUCCAAAUAAUAUGUUGUCUUUUUAUGUUUAAAACCUCACAUGUUAUAAAUGGUUACAAAUACAUGCAUGGACAUUUUCAUUCCAAAUCUAUGCAAAUUUUGAUUCCAAUAAUUAACCACAAAAGUAUUUUAAAUUUGGUUUGAAACAGACAUAUUGUCCUUUCUUUUAAAAAUGCACUCUUACUCCCACAUAAGAUUUCCCCAAUUAAUACUAUUGUUUUAUUAUUCCAAAAUGGAUGAAUAAAUGUCAAAAACAAUGGUUCUAAUGAAGGAUAUCUGUUUUAACUUGAAGGAAAUGUGCAUAAAACACAGUAUUUCUACCAUUUGAGAUCAUAGCAGAUCACAGUAAAUCUUUAAGCAUUCACACUGUGUUUGAACGGACACCGGAUAUAGCUCAAAAAGUGAUAAGUAAACAGACAAUUAUGCAGUUGUUUUUCUUUACCAGAUGUAGGAUCUUGCUGUGUUCACGCAUAUCUACCGUUUCCACAAAUGAGGCAAGUGUUUGAACUAAUAGUUGAAUGCUUAAUUUGGCAUAUGGUAUAAUUUAAAGUGCUUACGAUUUAGUAGACCAGGAUAUAUGUUUCUUCAAAUAUGAGAUGAUCACCUCAAAACUUACAGAAUUUAAACAACUAUUGUUAUUUUUAGGAAAUAUAUCGAAUAAAUAAAAAAUCUGAAUCGAAGGAUUUCACAAGCAUAAGCUCAACUAUUUUUGUUGUAAGGAAUGACAAUGUAGCUUUUAAACUAUUUAAGAUAUGCCCUUAGAAUAGAUCACAGUAUUGUACUGGGGAUAGCCGUAUUAUAUACUGGGGAGAGUUUUAAAGUUGAGAAAUGUGUCCUGGUGAUAACAUGUAAAAUGGGACAAAAAUUGAUAGUAACACUGUUUAUAUACAAUAUACUUGUCAGUCUAUUUCGAACUUUUAAAUAAUCUGCAAAAAGUGUGAGUACAAUUUGAUAAGAAAUUAUUGAGCAAACUUUAGUAAACAAUGAGUUUGAUCCAUGCUCUCCUAAAUGAACGUAUAUAUUCAAGCUGUUUAAAUAUCAGGGUUGGUCACAAUACAUACUUUCUCGCUGAAGUGAAUGAGCAGAGACCUUUAUUCGGUUCUAAGUAAUAGCAACAUCGACCCAAGCUUAGAAAAAGCUUCACGUGUUCCAAAUUUGAUCACAAUAUCUCAUUCCCGACUAAUGACUUUCUGUGUGCAAAAACGUACCUACUUGAUUUACAAAGCAAUACUAUAUAUAUCAAUAGCAAACGCGUUUUACUGUUACUUACUUUGGGUUGCCGGUUAGCGCAGUGGUUAGCGCACUCGCUUCUCACCUAGGCGACCCGAGUUCGAUUCCCGGCUUGGGCACAUGUGAGUUUGGUUUGUGGUCACCAAGCCGGACAAGUGGGUUUCCUCCGGGUUCUCCGGUUUCCCCAACAACACAAGACCACACUCUCGCGUAAAAUCGUGCCAACGAGAGUGAUUAAUAUAAUGUUGUAAUAACUUGUUUCACAAUCGUUGUAAAAUAAAUAUGUUUAAACUAAUAGCAAAUGCCACCUAAAUUAUACUGCCAUAUGUUUUGUGUUCCUCAAUAAAUCAGAUUACCGGCGUAUUUCAAAUAUUUAGAUAUUUCCGAUUCGAACGUUGAUGCUUGUGAAAAAUACAUCAUGGUUAACUUAUCUGUAUGAAUGAAACAGUUUUAAUUGCAUACAGAUACAAAAAAACAACAUGUUUUUUUGCGCUCAUCCCUCGAUAUGGACAGCAUUGAACAAUUUCCCUCGAGCUCGCGUAUAGGUAAAUGACCGUUAUCAUUAUUACAGUCUCGUUAUUCUGAAAACAUUGUUACUUUCCUCAGUCCACUUAAUAGCUAUCCCCUGUGCAGUUAUUUAUUUGCUUCAUCUAUUCCCAGUACACCGCCAGGGCAUCAAAAGGUAUGAAUAUCUCAGUAAAAACAAAAGAUAUCGUAUUGAUAUCUUACACAUUACUAGAUAAUGUAAUUACAAUGAAAUCGCUCGAUUCAGUUUUUAUUCUUAUUUUCAAUUUGUUGAUUUAAGUUUGAAAGCGUAACACAUAAAUGAACAUUUGUGAGCGAUCAUGCAACUUUCGGCGUGAAUUGGGCUAUUAUACAAAAGAGGAGAAACAUUUCCGUCAAAGUCGUAUAUUGCACAGUAUUAAGUUAUUCAAAACUCUUCGAUUUUGAUAAAUAUAUCACCAUAAAAUACAAAAAAAAUGAUAGAAAACUUUCCAUGUGUCAAAAUCAAACGCUUAUCGAUUAAUCACUUUUUGAGCUAUAUAAAUUGUCCGUUCACAUACAGUGAUUCACCAAUCAUUUAAUAUUUUUGCGUUUUCAGCUAUAAAAUACACGGUUACAAUAUCGUUAUCAGUACUAAAUAUUUUCCAUAAAUGAAUUAUUAAGUAAGGGUUAACAGUCAAAGUAUAUGUUUGUUAUACAUAGGUAUGCAUUGAUAUUGAAUAAGUGUGUCACUUUAAACAGUUGCCAUGGUAACUAGAGUCAAGUUUUCUUAAGAAACUGUAAUUGUUGUCUAAAAACCAUAGUAUUUUCAAUGUGAUACUUUUUUAGCAUGUCUGCUUCAGUCAAUAAAAUAUUUUUGUUAUUUUUUAUUCAUUUGGUCACACUUGGUAUACAAUUAUAUUUAUAGUAUAACCUUGAAAAUUGCUGACAAUCUCAUACUUAUAUAAAAUAUUCAGAAUUGCUAGAUGGGUUUCAGUUCACCUUUUUACAAUUGUCAGGUAAAUAAAUGCAAGAUAUAUACAAAAUUUUCCUUUUUAACAAAAAGCGAUGUUUCUUAGCAUUUUUUUGUAUUUGUAUUGAAUGGUUACCAUGGCAACUAUUUUUUUGUUUGCCUUUCAUGUUCCUAUUUAUAAAACUAAUAAUUGUAAAAAUGCAACAGUCAAGCAGUGAAUGGAAGAAUGUAAAUGUUCUUUGACUUUUACCUUAUUGCUUGCUCAUUCUUUAAAAUAUACGGCAUUUUUGAAAUUUCUUAAAAAUAGACGUUUUUUCAUCAUUUUUUUAACGUGAAAUAAUUUGUUUAAAACAUUGUUUAAGCUCUGAUAUUUAGGAAAAUGUAUUAAAUUUAUAUAAAGUAAACAAAAUGUGUUGUUUUACAUUAUUUAUUUCAUAUAAAUUCCGAAGUUUUGAAUUUGACCUAUUUUGGCAGAAAAAAUAAUAAAAAUGAUAAAUCAAAAGCGCCAUUAAUCUGUCAAAAAUUGAUGGAUUUUCAAAAAUAUGCAUAUUUGAGUUUGUUAUGACGUACCCUUUAAAAUGAUAUAUCACUUCACUAUACCGCAUGAAAUUAUUUUUUUACGUUGUUAUUGCUACACAUCUUAUAUCUAAACAACAACACACGUGCUAAUGAAAGGUUCAUGUAUUACAAUUCAUAUAUCUUUUGUACGAUAUUUAGUAGUUUUAUUUUUUGUUUAUUGUUAUGCUAACAUAGAUCGGAUAUCAAACAUGCAUUUGCAACAUGUGUUUUCUAGAUGUUAUUGCUCAUUAUUAAGCAUGUUUUUAACUUUAUAGUAUUGUAGUUAAUAUUCAAAUGUCGGCAUUAAAAUGAACCCUUUAGAACAUCUUAAAUGGUGAAAGUUUAGCUAUAUUAAAACGGUUUAUAUUACUUUAAAUCAAACAAAAAAAGUUAUUGUACAUAUGAUAAUGUAUGUUUAUUUACGAUAUUGUUAUCGA